CCUCCAUCGACCCUAAGAUCUUCACCUCAACCACCUCCAUCCACCCUCAGGGUUAUGCAGACACCUCUGCCGCCUCCAUCCACCCUCGGGUCUUCAACUCCACCGUCUCUGGAUAACCAUAGAUGGCCCAUUGUUUCUGCCUGUCACGAUGUCACCAUUUCACCACAUACUCCUCAAACAGAAAUUAGGGACAGCAUGUUUGCUCGCCUCAUAACGCUCAUUGAGGAGGUGAAAGAGACUGAGAAAAUCCAAGGGAGGAUCCUACAAACACUACUACGACAGCAUGGCAACGUUGGGACUACAGUUGUUUCUAUUCCAGAAGGAUUCCCCCUAAAGGCAAUUUGUGAUGUUGAAAUCAUGGAAGAAAAGCUGGCAAACCCAAGUUUCAUGUCCAAAGUGGUUGCAGCUGUGGCUGACAUGGGGUGGGCAACUGUUGACGAGGCCACAAGAAGAAUGAUGACCUUCCUCCUAGACCAUGGCCUAGCCAGGUAGUAUAACUUCGAGGCUUGAAGAAAAACUCCUUGACAAGCCACAUCACCCGUAAAGAUGUUGAGAAGGCCGUGUCUAAGUGGCUCAUAGGUGCUCGGGAUCGGGGGGUAAUAGACAGGCCCGAC